rnacentral:tRNA from 1 species
GCCUUCGUGGCCUAACGGAUAAGGCGUCGGCCUCCUAAGCCGAAGAUUUCGGGUUCGAAUCUCGUCGGAGGUA